UCAGCUUGUGAAUUAAAUAUCAGAUUGCAACAUCUUGAUCAGUCAGACCAUUCUGGAUCAGUAUGCAAUUAUUGCAUUGUGUUGUGGAAUCUGGAUCCAGGUCAAGUCUGGGUCACAAUGUGACUCACAUAUCUUUCAUUUCUUGUACUUUAAAUCAGA